UUGUUGUGGAAAUUGUUGAUUUUUCAAUAGUGUUAAAAUGUACUUGCAAUAAAAUAAAGUCUAAUGGCCAAAAGUACGAUUCCUUAAUGUAGUUACAUAAUGCUCUAAAUAAUAUAUCAAUCUGCUAUAUAUUUUCAGAUUUUCAGGCUAAUGCAAAGUCUAGAAUUCACUGGAAAGGUCCUUCAAGCAAAAAACGCAUAAUUCUGAAGUUCACGGGGAUACCAUAUGUGAUAGUUGGGACUAAAAAUCUUCAGUGCCAUUUAGGUAAAGAUAGUGGCCUUUCAAAGAAAAGAAAAUAUGCAGAGCACAGAGAUCUGAAGCAGGGAGAAGACUUUAACUUUGCGAAAAGAAUACCAAAAAAAUGGGCAGCACUGCUACAAUAUUUAUAUCGCACAUAAUCAGCUAUCCGGAGUUUAAGAUUACACAGAACACACAAAAGCGAAAAGCAACAUUGUCUUUGAAACUUCGCAAUGCUAUACAA